UCAUUUUGGUUGGAAGGCUGUUUUUUGUGUUUUGUCCGUAGGUGUCGUACCUUUUGCAUCAUGAUCUGCUGAGGUUUUAUCUUUAUUGAUGGGUUUCUCGAUGGGUGGUGAUUUCUUCUUGGCCUGCUUUGAUCUUAGGAUUCUAUAGGUUAUGGUUUUUAGAGCUUGGGGGUGUGGUGAUAAAUAGUUCGUACUACUCUGUAUCUAGUUUUUGUCAUGUUUUUCUUUAUACUUUUCUUGCUUGGAUGUGAGAAGGGGGAUAAGAAAUGGGUUCUUGCUGGUUUUUACUGUUGUUGGGUUAGGGGUACCUUGACUUAUUCAGUGUGUUGAGACUGGUUUUUAGCUUUGGUUUAUUUUUAUUCUAGGUGACGAUUAGUUUGAUUGGUUUUUAGAGUAUGGUAGAAUGAGUAGUUUUAUUAGUUUCCUUUUUUCUCGGAUUCCUUCGAUCUGUUUAUUAAAAACAUUUCCAUCAUGAAGGUUUGAUGGUAGUGCCUGCCCAAUGUCUUUGGUGAAUGGCCGCAGUAUUUUGACUGUGCUAAGGUAGCAUAAUUAGUUGCCCUAUAAUUGAGGGAUUGUUUGAAAGGUUUGAUUAGGGGGAGUGAUUCUAGAUGGUGACUUAUUUCGAGGUUGAGUUUUUGGUGCAGAUUCCAAGUGUGUUUAGUAAGACGGAAAGACCCCGAGAGCUUGGAUUUAUUCUUUUACUUGGGGCGUGGGUAUAUGUUUCAUGUAUUUUUUGAUCCUUUGAGAUAGGAGGUUUAAGUUACCUCGGGGAUAACUAGGUAAGAGGUGAGGAGAGGUCCUAUCGAUUCACUUGGUUGCCAUCUCGAUGUUGACUUGAGGGUAGCAGGGAGGUGUAGUAGUUUUCCUGUUUGGUCUGUUCGACCGUAGUUCCUCUCAUGAGUUGAGUUAAGACCGGCGUGAGCCAGGUCGGUUCUUAUCUACUGGGGCUAUGCAUUAGUACGAAAGGAUUGUGUGUGGUUUAUGUU
rnacentral:rRNA from 1 species